rnacentral:rRNA from 1 species
GUAGUCAAGUUAGAAAGGGCGCACGGUGGAUGCCUUGGCAAUUGGAGCCGAUGAAGGGCGUAGUAAGCAACGAUAGGCUUCGGUGAGUCGCUCACAGACUGACCCGGAGAUACCCGAAUGGGGCAACCCUGCGUGGUUCAAACCACGUAACUCCCGCAUGAAUAUAUAGUGCGGGUAGAGGCAAGCCACUGAACUGAAACAUCUCAGUAAGUGGAGGAGAAGAAAACGAAGUGAUUCCCUGAGUAGUGGCGAGCGAAACGGGAACAGCCUAAACCGAUACUGGCUUUACAGUGUCGGGGUCGUGGGGCUUUUCAUAUAGGAGUUACAAAGUUAACCGUUAGUCGAAUCUGUCUGGAAAGCAGAUCCAAAGAGGGUGAAAGACCUGUAGACGAAAGCGGUUAGCCUCCUGAGAAGUACCCGAGUAACGCGGAACUCGUGGAAUUCUGCGUGAAUCUGGGGAGACCACUCCCUAAGGCUAAACACUCCAAUUGACCGAUAGUGAACAAGUACCGUGAGGGAAAGGUGAGAAGCACCCCGGGAGGGGAAAAGCUGUCCCUGAAGCCGUGUGCCUACAAGCAGUCGGAGCACUACUGCGCAAGCAAGUGUGACGGCGUGCCUUUUGUAGAAUGAUCCUGGGAGUUGUCAUGUGCAGCAAGGUUAAGGCCGCAGGGCCGCAGCCGUAGGGAAACCGAGUCUUAAUAGGGCGACAAGUUGCACGUGGCACACCCGAAACCGAGUGAUCUACCCAUGGACAGGCUGAAGCGAAGGUAAAACUUCGUGAAGGGCCGAACCAGUGUUGGUUGAAAACAACUUGGAUGAGCUGUGGGUAGUGGUGAAACGCUAAACGAACUCGGAUAUAGCUGGUUCUCCCCGAAAUAGUUUGAGGAUUAGCCUCAUCCGUUCAGCAACGGUGGUAAAGCACUGAAAAGGUUAGGGGGCCCACAAGCCUACCGACCCUUAUCAAACUCUGAAUGCCGUUGCCCUAGAGGAUGGGAGUGAGACAGUGGGGGAUAAGCUUCAUUGUCGAGAGGGAAACAGCCCAGACCAUCAAUUAAGGUCCCCAAGUUCUGGCUAAGUGGUUAACGAGGUGAGAUUGCUCAGACAAUCAGGAGGUUGGCUUAGAAGCAGCCAUCCUUUAAACAGUGCGUAAUAGCUGACUGAUCGAGUGAUUUCGCGCGGAAAAUUCAACGGGGCUCAAGCCAGGCACCGAAGUUAUGGAUUCAUAUUUUAUAUGAGUGGUAGGGGAGCGUCGUGUAGUAGGUCGAAGCUCGAGCGUAAGCGCGGGUGGACGAAUCACGAGUGCGAAUCCAGGAAUGAGUAGCGAAAAGCAAAGUGAGAAUCUUUGCCGCCGAAAACCUAAGGUUUCAUAAGCAAGGUUCGUCCGCUUAUGUUCAGGCGGGCCUAAGCCGAGGCAGAAAUGCGUAGGCGAUGGACAGACGGUUGAUAUUCCGUCCCCGCUGUUAGAUUGUUGACUCAUGCGUCGGUUGGUCAGCCUACCCCAGUGCUGGGGAUGGCCUUUAUACCCAAGGAAGGUCACGAGAGCCUAGCUCGAAGUGGUGGAACCUAUACGGCCAAGAAAAGUGAGCAACGCGUGUCUAACGGCGCCCGUACCGCAAACCGACACAGGUAGGUGAGGAGAGUAUCCUCAGGCGCGCGAGAGAACCCACGUUAAGGAACUCGGCAAUCUGUUCCCGUAACUUUGGAAGAAGGGAAGCCCCAUUAGCUUGUAAGUCCUCGCGACUGAAGGGUGAAGGGGCCGCAGAGAAUCGGCUCAAGCGACUGUUUACCAAAAACAUAGGUCUCUGCGAAGUCGUAAGACGACGUAUAGGGGCUGAUGCCUGCCCAAUGCCGGAAUGUUAAGGGGAGGGGUUAGGGGCAACCCGAAGCUUCGAACUGAAGCACCGGUCAAUGGCGGCCGUAACUAUAACGGUCCUAAGGUAGCGAAAUUCCUUGUCGGGUAAGUUCCGACCUGCACGAAUGGCAUAACGACUUGAGCGCUGUCUCAACGUGGGA